rnacentral:rRNA from 1 species
CCUAUGGGGUGCAGCAGUAGGGAAUCUUCCACAAUGGACGAACGUCUGAUGGAGCAACGCCGCGUGAGUGAAGAAGGGUUUCGGCUCGUAAAGCCCUGUUGGUAGUGAAGAAAGAUAGAGGUAGUAACUGGCCUUUAUGUGACGUUAAUUACUUAGAAAGUCCCGUCUAACUACGUGCCAGCCGCCGCGGUAAUACGUAGGUGGCAAGCGUUGUCCGGAUUUAUUGGGCGUAAAGCGAGUGCAGGCGGUUCAAUAAGUCUGAUGUGAAAGCCCUAGGCUCAACCGGAGAAUUGCAUCAGAAACUGUUGAACUGGAGUGCAGAAGAGGAGAGUGGAACGCCAUGUGUAGCGGUGGAAUGCGUAGAUAUAUGGAAGAACACCAGUGGCGAAGGCGGCUUUCUGGUCUGCAACUGACGCUGAGGCUCGAAAGCAUGGGGAGCGAACAGGAUUAGAUACCCGAGUAGUC